rnacentral:misc_RNA from 1 species
GCAGAGCGAAAGUGAAUGUUUACUUCCUGAAAUUGCACCGAAUUAUCGAUUUUUCUAUUAAAAGUGAUGUGUUUGAAUAUAUAAAAAUGUGCCACGACUGUAUUACUACAAUAUAAAUAUUACUGUAGUGUUUUUUGGUGACCACAUUUCCUGCGAAGGUGCAUCCUGAAACAUGUCAUCGCCAUCAAAACACCGUUAUAAGAGGCAGACUUGGUGCAAGAGGCUGCUCCAUAAAAGGUUGCCAGUAACAAAAUGGCUGCCGGAAUACAACUCAGAGAAAGCAUUAGCAGAUUUCAUAGCUGGAAUCACUGUAGGUCUCACAGUCAUACCUCAAGCACUAGCGUACGCCACAUUAGCUGGAUUGCAUCCCCAGUAUGGGCUGUAUUCCUCUUUCAUGGGAUGCUUCGUUUACAUGAUAUUCGGGUCGUGUAAAGACAUCACACUGGGACCGACUGCUUUAUUAGCUCUGAUGACGUAUCAACAGAUUCAAGGCAGAAACUUCGACUACGCCGUUCUAUUGUGCUUCCUUACUGGAGUUGUCCAGCUUAUCAUGGGGAUAUUGCAUUUAGGAGUGUUGAUAGACUUCAUAUCGGUACCCGUGACUGUGGGGUUCACUUCAGCGACGUCUGUGAUAAUAGCAGUGUCCCAACUCAAAGGCCUACUGGGACUGCAGUUCAAAUCCGGAGGGUUCAUCGACACUCUUAAAAAGGUGAUAAUAAACGUGCCAAAUGCAAAACUAGCCGACAGUGUGUUGGGCGUAACAUGUAUUAUUACGUUAUUGCUAUUACGGAAAAUGAAAGACUUGAACUUGCCAGUGAGCCAGAAGGGACUGAAAAAGACUCUUUGGCUAUUAUCAACCUCGAGAAACGCCAUUAUAGUGAUAAUAUGCUCCGUAAUAGCGUUUGUGUGCGAGAAAUAUUACGCCGAGUCGCCGUUCAAAUUAACAGGCACUGUCAGACAAGGUCUUCCGUCCUGGACCGCUCCGCCUUUUGGAACUCAAAUAGAUAACAAGCCAGUGUCAUUCCUACAGAUGUGCUCGGACCUCGGCUCCUCCAUAGUCCUGGUCCCUAUCAUCGGGGUUUUGGGAAACGUGGCCAUUGCCAAGGCUUUUGCCAGCGGAGAGUCAGUAGACGCAACUCAAGAGCUGAUCACGCUAUCUUUCGCCAACAUCCUGGGGUCUUUCGUAGGCGCGAUGCCGAUCACAGGGUCAUUCUCCCGUAGUGCUGUGAACCACGCCAGCGGGGUAGCUACGCAAUUCGGGAACGUUUACACAGGAAUUCUAGUGAUAUUAGCCCUAAGUCUUCUCACUCCAUACUUCUACUUCAUUCCGAAGGCGUCGCUCGCCGCCGUCGUCAUUUGUGCUGUGAUAUUUAUGAUAGAAUAUGAAGUGGUAAAACCAAUGUGGCGGUCCCGCCGCGCCGAUCUUGUCCCGGCGUUCGCUACGUUCGCGACAUGCCUCAUCGUGGGCGUCGAGCUAGGCAUCCUUGCAGGGGUCGCUGUCAACGUCAUACUGCUGCUGUACCCCAGUGCAAGGCCCCAACUUGAUGCUGAGACAGUCACGACGAGCUCAGGCUUCAGCUAUCUCCUAGUGACGGUGGGCAACAGCCUGUACUUCCCAGGGGUGGAGUACAUCAGGCAAUAUGUGGAGAGAGCUGCCAAGAAGCAAGGCGGCUGCAGUAUGCCCGUCGUCAUCGAUUGCCGAUAUGUACUUGGCGCAGACUUCACAGCAGCGAAAGGCAUUUGCGCGUUGUCCAACUCGCUAUCAUCCCGUGGACAGCCGCUCGUCUUGCUCGCUCCGCGCGACAGUGUGACGUCAGUGUUCAGUGGAGCCGGCUCCAGUGUCGUCAUCGUGCUCUCUGCGAGCGAUCUCGACACCACACUACAAGAUCUCACGGGACAAAUUGCCCUGCCAGUACUAAAUAGCAAAGGUAACGGCACACCGCCCCCAACUUACGACUCGUUACAACAACUCGACGACGUACCAGAAGUCGUCAUAGCCGAGGAACCGAACAGGCAGCCUCUGCUGAACCAUAGCUGUAAAAAUGGACUGUCAAAAUCUCUCUCGACCGAGAGUAAAUUAAACAUUAAAAACAUUGGUCGUGGGUGAAUUAUUUUUUACGAAAUGGCAACGCUGGGUGGAAUGACGUCAGCUAGAAUGUUACAACAACAACUUUGAAGUGUUAGCUGUCACUUUUGAGCAUACCUGGUUUUCUUAUACCAUGAUAGCUUAUCGACAGUUUGCUGGUGGAACAUGGGCUUGGAUGCAGAGAGCAGCUUCUCAGACACCACGUGGGCGAUCCUGGCGCUACGUCGCCACACCAGCUCCCUGGUACGCUCGUGGUUACUGUCAACGCGAACCUGGACAAAAUGCAAUAAAUCUCACGGUACAAAUUGUUCUACCCGUACUAAACAGUAAUAGUACUCCCAACGU